GUCCUUUUGUAAAUAAUUUAAGGUCUAACCUGCCCACUGAAUUUUUAAAUGGCCGUGGUAUUUUGACCGUGCUAAGGUAGCAUAAUCAUUAGUUUUUUAAUUAAGAACUGGAAUGAAAGGUUGGAUAAGAAAAUAGCUGUCUCUAUUAAAUUUUAUUAGAAUUUUAUUUUUAAGUUAAAAAGCUUAAAUAUAUUUAAAAGACGAGAAGACCCUAUAGAGUUUGAUUGUUUAAUAAAAGUUACUUUUUAGUAUUUAUAUAUUUAUUUUAUUUAACAAUUUAAUUGGGGUGAUUGAAAAAUUAAGCUAACUUUUUUUAUUUAAAUUCAUUAAUUUAUGAAUUAAUGAUCCAAUAUUUUUGAUUAUAAGAUAAAAUUACCUUAGGGAUAACAGCGUAAUUUUUUUAAAGAGUUCAUAUUAAAAGAAAAGAUUGCGACCUCGAUGUUGGAUUAAAAUAAAUUUUUGGUGUAGGAGCUAAAAUAUUAGGUCUGUUCGACCUUUAAAAUUUUAC
rnacentral:rRNA from 1 species